AAGAGAGCUGGCCUCUUACAUUCCUGUCUCAUCAAAUCUGUGGUAAUGGGUUUCCAGCAUCCCCUGAUGAGGAAGCUCCUAUCAACCAAGGCCAGGCCUCAAGUGAAAGAAAGAUAUGAGUCCUUAGAAGCUAAUACCUACACAGCGGACAAUUGGGACCUGCAGGUUCAAAUUCAUACUGUACCAGGGCGUAAGCUCCUUGAGGAAGGAAAAUCAGUGCCAAAAACCUGGUGAUUUGGUGCUGUCAACUGAUUCCUGAUGUUGAAGAGGAUGGAACAAAAGCAGAAAUAAAAAUGCAAUUUCAUUUAUUACUCA